rnacentral:rRNA from 1 species
CAGCAGAAAAGAAGAACCCUCUUCCGAACCCCACUCCUGCUGCUCCGUGGCCAUGGCGAAGGCGAGGCCGCACUCGGAGCGAUCCAGUCACCGCCGCCGCAACCUCCUCCUCGCGGUCGCUCUCCUGUCGGCAGCUCUCCUCCUUCCAGCGGCGACGGCCUCCGCGGCGGUGGCGGUGGCGGCGGAGGGGGACGGGGAGAACAGGUCGCGCGGGGCGGCGACGCAGUGGGCGACGGGGAAGGACGAGGGGGAGCUGGCCGCGGAGCGGGAGGCCGUUGGCGUGGGCUCGGUGGUGGAGGACGACUUCGCGGGAGGCUUCGGCUCCCUCGACAGCAUGCUGCAGUGGGCCAUCGGGAAUUCAGAUCCAGGAAGGCUGAAAGAAGAGGCGGCGGAUGUGCAGAAGUUAUCAGAGGAUGAGCUGCUCAAGCGGCGGCAUGAGAUUAAGGACUUGAUGGAAAAGUUAAAGAUGCCAUCAGAUGCUGACUUAAUGAAGAUUGCAAUUGCUGACUUAAAUAAUGCUUCCAUUUCACUGGAGGAUCGCCAGCGUGCAUUGCAAGAGCUUUUAAUUCUUGUUGAGCCCAUUGAUAAUGCAAAUGACCUUGACAAAAUUGGGGGCCUUGUUCCCGUGAUUCAAGAUCUUAAUAAUGCAAAUGAAGAAAUACGGAUCACCUCUGCAUGGAUCCUGGGUACAGCCAGUCAAAAUAAUGCCCUUGUCCAAAGCCAGAUUCUUGGUUAUGGAGCUUUGGCAAGAUUAGUGAAGAUGGGUUAUUCCACUUCGGCAAAAGAAGCUGCGAAGGCAAUGUAUGCUAUAUCGGCUUUGAUCAGAAAUAAUGUAAAUGGUCAGGAGGCAUUCACUUCAGAAAAUGGGAACGCAAUGUUGCAGCACAUACUAGGAAGCAACAGUGUUGAUGUUCGGCUUCAGAAGAAGGCAGUGUUUUUAAUAACUGACCUAGCAGACUUUCAGCUAAAUUCUGGAAGCUCAGGGCUCGCAUUCUUAAGUGAACGUGUUUUUCUGAAGUCAGUCACUGAUAUGUUAUCGAAGUUUGACCUUGACCUUCAAGAAAAGGUUUUGUUGGCCAUUAGGAGUCUGCUGAAGCUUCCCUCGACGGACGCCACGGACUUGGAGUCAUGCGGCCUAGACAGCGUGCUGUACAGACUGGGGGUGCAGCUGGAGGAGCUGCCAUCAGAGGAGCAGAAGGAGUACGCCGGGGAGGUUGACGCCCUCCGGAGAGAAGUAGAGAUGCUCUUCCAACAGAAGCUCAAGCGGGGUACAGCUACGGCGGCAUUAUAGAUACUCGGAUGAACGCAAGGGAAAACUGGCAGGCUUUUCCGAUCCAGUGAAUUAGUGCUGGCUGCCAAACGUUUGAAAGAGUAGAUUAUUUUUUCAAAAGAGUCUGGCUGCCGGGUUGAGCCCCUUUACUUUUGCCGGAGGGUUAUUAUAGUGGUGUGGGAUUCGAUGCAACGAUAGGUUAGAGAGACUUUAUAUGAUACGGUUAGUUUUCCCAUUUGCAUUUGCAGGACUAGUUAUGACCUCCCCUGUGUUUCUUGGGAGAUUUCCUUUCUUUACUGUUGUAGAAGUGCAAAAAUGUCUUCGUAUGUACUAGCUACAUAUAGGUAGUAGUAGCUCGUACAAUGGGUUUAGUAGAACACACCAUUGUCAUGUGCUGUUACCUGCACUUUGAGAUGAUGUGGUAUUUGAACUACUUAUGACAGUAGACUUGGCCUUGGGCAAGAUAGUGGGUACGUUUUGUUGGGUCUGGGGUGGCGUGGUCUCAUCUGAGCCACCGUCUUCCAUGAAUCCGGCUGCGGCUGGAACAGUCGCGUGUUCGUGGAUAUACGCUGUCGUUGGCAUGGCAUGGGCAUACUACCAAAAUUGCGGCUAUUCAACGGGGAUAAACGCAUUCGCAGCGGCAGUCAGCGGAGCACGUGCCACGGAAUGGGACGCCGAUCCGUCCCUUGCAUCGACCCACCUGCGCGCAGUGGUCCUCCGCCGUGACCACCGUACGCAGCUCACCAACCCCACGCCGCUCUCGGGCCUCUCACGCUGACCGGGAGCGGUAGUAGCAGUAGUAGUUGGCAGGCGCGGCGCACGGGUAGGUAGCCGAAUCAAGCCCCCGGCUGCUCCUGUUCUCGCCGCAACCAAACCUUCCGCUUCCGCUUCCGCACGGCUGGCCAUUUCCCAUCCCCGGAACCGGAGCCGGAACCCCCGGUCCUUUUCUACUCCUCUCCCAGAACCCAGACCUCUGACCUCUCCCCCCUCCCACCGCUCGCACGAUCGACCACGCAGAGUCAACCCCGGCGCGGCGGCCAAGGCCAAGCAUGGAGGCCGCGGCGGCCACGGGGCUCCGCCCCUUCGCCGCGCCGCUCGGGGCAGCGACGAGGGCGGGCGCGGGCUGGCGGUGCGCGCCGGGCCAGCGGCGGCUUGGGCGGGGCGCGCGCGUGGCGGCGAGGCUGGACGGGGGCGUGGGGAAGGGGGUGCCCACCACCAACUACGUCGUGCCGCUCGACAAGGCCACCGGGAUGACCCGCCCGCUCGUCGAGAUCCUCAGGGACCUCAACAAGCGCGUCCCCGACAAGAUCAUCGACCCCGACACCAACACCGUCCCCUGGUACCAUGCCAACAGAAUGCUGAGCUUCUAUGCACCAGGUUGGUGUGGUGAAGUUCGUGAUGUUAUUUAUUCCAACAGUGGAACUGUGACCGUGGUCUAUCGAGUGAUUCUGAAAGGAACAGAUGGAGAGGCUUUCAGAGACGCCACAGGCACGGCAAAGGUGCACGAGGGACGCAACGAUGACGCUGUCGCGGCUGCGGAGGAGGCAGCAUUCAGCAAGGCCUGCGCACGGUUUGGUUUCGGCCUGUACCUGUACCACCAGGAUGAGAUCCCGUAGGGGGGACAUCACAGCUUUGCGAUUCAUUCUGCAAUGGAAGCUGGUCGUAACGUGGGUAGGCACGCCCGUGGAGAGUUGGAAAGCUUCGCUGGUGCUUAAUGCUUGUGCAAGAAGCCUGUAAAUUGUUCCUUCUGUUACGUUUUUGUUGUUGUUGUUGUCGGUGUAGGCUCGCAAGAUUCAUCCAGCUAGAGAAAGGAAAAGAACAUAUGGAAUAAUGUGCUGUUACUUCUCUGGUGCAUUUUCUGCCUUAUGUAAUUUUUAGAGAUUUUUUUUUUGUUUUGUCUUGUUUUCUCUUGCAGCACUUCAGAUCUUUUGAAUAGGCAACACCACAUUGACAAAAAUUGUGUAUCAUUUGUUGCCAAUCUUUUUACAUACAUAAACCAAUUUUCCUU